GACGAACGCUGGCGGCGUGCCUAAUACAUGCAAGUCGAACGCUUCUUUCCUCCCGAGUGCUUGCACUCAAUUGGAAAGAGGAGUGGCGGACGGGUGAGUAACACGUGGGUAACCUACCCAUCAGAGGGGGAUAACACUUGGAAACAGGUGCUAAUACCGCAUAACAGUUUAUGCCGCAUGGCAUAAGAGUGAAAGGCGCUUUCGGGUGUCGCUGAUGGAUGGACCCGCGGUGCAUUAGCUAGUUGGUAAGGUAACGGCUCACCAAGGCCACGAUGCAUAGCCGACCUGAGAGGGUGAUCGGCCACACUGGGACUGAGACACGGCCCAGACUCCUACGGGAGGCAGCAGUAGGGAAUCUUCGGCAAUGGACGAAAGUCUGACCGAGCAACGCCGCGUGAGUGAAGAAGGUUUUCGGAUCGUAAAACUCUGUUGUUAGAGAAGAACAAGGACGUUAGUAACUGAACGUCCCCUGACGGUAUCUAACCAGAAAGCCACGGCUAACUACGUG
rnacentral:rRNA from 1 species